GGGAUUAUUCAGUCGGUGAGGUCGCGGACGCGGCGUGUGGAGUGACCAGAAUGGUUCCCUGGACGGGGCCGUCCACGCCCGGCGCUUCCGUGCCACCCGACGCAUUUGUUUCCCGUCCUAAGGACGCCGCAACCGGUUGGAGAACGGCCUUAAGGGCGGACGAUGGCAGGUGGCCGGUGACGUUCCCUCGGGGACGUCUGCCGGUUGUUAGCCGGUUUCCGUCGCACGGCUCGUGAUCCGACCGUGGUGUCGCGAGGCCCCUCUGCGGGCCUCUUCGCCUCCUCCUCUGCGGGACGCCGGGAAUUGGCGGCACGGUCCCUCCCCCCUGCGGGCGCACUGACCGACUCAGUGGCCCAGCUAUCGGGAGGUCCGGUUGGUAGCCUCUUACCCGUUGGAGUGUCGGCGGUUGGCGGCGAGUAGAUCGGUCACCCACCCGACCCGUCUUGAAACACGGACCAAGGAGUCUAACAUGUGUGCGAGUCAAUGGGUCUCGAGUAAGCCCAAAGGCGCAAUGAAAGCAAAGGUCGGACUCGACUCCGACUGUGUUGGGAUCCUCCCUCCUCCGUCGGGGGAGGCGCACCAACGACCCGUCCCAUCCGAUUCAUCGGCGGGGCGGAGUCUGAGCAUACACGUUGGGACCCGAAAGAUGGUGAACUAUGCCCGGGCAGGACGAAGCCAGAGG
rnacentral:rRNA from 1 species